rnacentral:lncRNA from 1 species
AUCCAUUUGCAAAACUUGAAAUAACCUAGAAUUAAUAUGAAAAUCUUGAGAGAAUAUUUUACAGAACUUAAAUUACUUAAAAAAACCUCCCACAUGAGUUGGAACCACUCAAAAAUCAACAACAACAGGAAGAACAAGAAACUUACAAGUGUGACGGGGAUUCCGAGACUUAAUUUAUAAUAUUUACCGUUUUUUGGAUUUUAGAUCAUGAGAGAACCUUGAGAGAGUGUUUUUAGGUAUCUAGAGCCUGAAGAUACUUAAAAAUAAUGGUUUAAAUUGGGUUGUGGAAUUUUGUAUAUAUCAAUAUAUCUUAACCGCCAUUGUGGGUCCCAUAGAUAGCUGCUUGGUAUGGUCUCGCAAAAAUGCAAUUAUAUCUCGACUCUAACAUUUUAUCAACAAACAGUUUAAUGCGUUAGAAACUAGACUCAUAGAUAUUUAAUUUGGUAGGUAGAUCACCCUAUAAUUCAAAGUAAAUAGAGAGACAAUCGCAUCUACAGUUGACCUAAUUUUCAGCAUAUUUAUGAAUGUAACUUGUAAUGACCUUUGCCAACUUUUGUUCCAUGACUUGCUUGACUUAAACACAUAACACACGACUAUCAUAUGACUAAAAUAAAUCAUAAAAUAACCUCCUUAUCCUGUUAAGCAUCCUAGUCUCAUCACAAAAGUACACGUCAUAACAUUCCCAACUUGUCGACAUUCGACAAAACUUAUUUUCUUCAAUUUAUUUAAUUCUUAGCCUUUCAACCCUAUUGGUACUUCUUUUCCAUGAUCUUAAAGAUUUGCGAUCUCCAAGGUAACAUAAUUAACUUACUUUAUGUACUCUCAAGAUGAUCUCAUUUAUGAGCUUACAUAAAUUGACUUACGAAUAUUCUUUUGUACGAAGAUAUGGGAUGUAACAAUUUGACAGUAUUAUAGCUUCACAAAAUAAAUAAACAAUUGAACAAAUGAACUUCUGAACAAUCACUUAAGCAACUACACUACCAAUUAUGUAAUACAUCAUCGUAUGCUUAAAAUUACAACAUUCAUCCAUCAUUAAAGAAUACAACUAUGGGUAAACCUCACUAUGAUCACGACUCUUAACUGAUACUUAAUGGAUAACGAACCCAAGCAACAAAGAUCUGACAGAGGUGCAACUUCUCUCAAGCCUUAAACUGCAAAUCGAACCAACAUGUGGCCAGAUCCGCAAUUAUUGACUUUCAAAUCAAGCAUUAGACUUUAAUUUACCAGAAAUCAUGAAAGCAUGCUUAGAUUUCAAUAGUUAAUACCCAAAUAUAAGUAAAAAGUAUUUGACAAUGAGAUAUACAUGUUGAGGUCUAAACAAACAUGUGAAAUCAACUACAAUUCUAGUUAUGAAAUUGCUAUAGAUACAAGUUGUCCUUAACAUACAAAUUCAUAGUAGGUUUUAAAUCUUACACAUGUCGAACUAACAUCCAUUUAUGUUUAAAACAAAAUAGUCAGCAAGUUUACACCAUUACAACAAAUAACUUCAAAGAAUAGCCAAUGUUUCAUUGCAAUCGAAAACAGAAGCACAUGUGUUACCUAAACUCAUAAACAAGCUCAACUUCUUCCCAAAUAAAGGUUAAAAACCAACACUAGAUGGAUUCAACAAGAUCAAACAGCAGGAAACAGAAGAAAACAACCUCAAAUCUUAGCUAAACCAGCAGAGUGACAGCAAUAGAAAUGGAUCCAAUUUUCAGAGAAUUCCGCGUAAAAUCAGUGUCUGUUCUUGAGUGUAUUUGAGAGGAAUGCUGAGAAAAUUAGCAUGCGUGGGAGUGUAUUAUGUUAUAGAUGAGGGAAAAGGGGAGGGAAUCAAAGGAAUGUCAGUUGAAAUUAGGAAAGGGUAUCUUUUAAUAACCAACUUGUACAGCUCUCCCAUUUUUAUAUAUGUAUCUAAUUUCAACAUCUUUUCUUAACCAAUAUUGGAACAUCUGGCCUUUUUUCCAGUUGCUUUUUUCUUCUAGAAACAUCUAAAUUCUUUUCUUCUUUUUUUUUUUCCAUUAAACCUACUGAAUUUCGAAAAAAAAUAAAAUUAUCAAGCCAAAUAUCAAAUAAACAGGCAAUCAGUGAUAUAUAACAAAAUAUCCUAACAUCUAAUUAAAUUCCAAAGAUGAUUAACUAGCAGUUUGCAAUUAACAUGUAUUUAAGAAAUCCUAACACACAAGUGCAUAAACCUGGAUGUUUGACCAAUCUAAUUAAGCUGAUUUUAUCAUUCGAACAAGCACAUUCUAUUAAAAUCUAGAGGACUAUUUUUGUUUUUUUAAUUGUUAUUAUUAAGCGAAGGACAUGACAAACCAAAACAAUGAGAUAAAACAAAAAAUGAGGAAAUACCUAAUGAAAUGAGAAUGGUUUAGUUUGAAAGGAAUUCAACGAGAUUGGCUGGAUUCGGUGCUUGAUAUAAACUAAAAUCAACGUCAAUGGAUUAUUCUCGUUAAAAGCAACCGAUUAACGCUAUUUUCAGUUUGAAUCGAACCUUGAAGCUUCAAAAAACCUGAAAAGGGUAAGACUAGGGUUUUAGGAAUUUUUAGAUCUAGAUUUAGGUGAGUUGGGGUGUGUUUUUGAGGCUAAGGCUAAGAGACUAAGAGUGAGGGAAAGGUUGGGAUUGUAUGUGAAAGAAUAUAUGGGUCCACCAACUUUUAUAAGGUUCCACAAUUACAC